rnacentral:rRNA from 1 species
UACGUAGGGGGCAAGCGUUGUCCGGAUUUAUUGGGCGUAAAGGGCUCGUAGGUGGUUCGUUAAGUCGGAUGUGAAAUCUCCAGGCUCAACCUGGAGCUUGCAUUCGAUACUGGCGUGACUUGAGUACGGUAGGGGAUCACGGAAUUCCUGGUGUAGCGGUGAAAUGCACAGAUAUCAGGAGGAACACCGGUGGCGAAGGCGGUGAUCUGGGCCGUAACUGACGCUGAUGAGCGAAAGCGUGGGUAGCAAACCGG